AUGAACAUCGUCAAGAUAUUUUAAUAUGCACAGUGUUUUCACACAUUAAAACAGAAAUUCAGAUUUUAAUUAACCCAGUGAAUUUGCCUGAAAAUAUGCUCCCUGGAACACAACUAAGUCGUGCUUAUGAUAAAGAUGUGGCUGGAAAGGGAGAUGUCUACCGUUUUCUGAAUAAAACAUAAGAUUUUGCCAUCGAUGCAAGUAAGUAAUUGUGACAUUUAUAUUUUUAUUUGCUUUAUAGUUAUUACUUUUUAAUUUUACUUUUAAAAUGGACAGAUAAUAAUUGUACAUAUUUAUGGGGUACAUAAUGUUGUUUCCACACAUAUAAUGUAUAGUGAUCAGAUCAGAAUAAUUAGCAUAUUUAUCAUCUCACACCUUUAUCACUUCUUUGUGUCUGGAAUAUUCAAUAUCCUCCUUCUAGCUUUUUGAAACUAUAUAUUAUUGUUAACUAUAGUCAUACUACAGUGCUUAACACCAGAACUUAUUCCUUCCACCUAGCUGCAAUUUUGUAGCUUUUAACAAGUCUCUCCCUAUCCUUCCUUCCCUUCCUCCUAUCCCUCCCAGUCUCUAGUAUCCUCUGUUGUACUUAUUACUUCCAUGAGAUCACUGUUUUUUAGCUUCCACAUAUGAGUGAGAACAUAUUUAAAGUUUAGACUUUGAAGAAAAUUAUUUUGUUGAACCCAAGUGGUACAUUAGAUUUCUUGGUCAAAAUUUGCUGCAGAUAGUCACAUAAAUUCA
rnacentral:lncRNA from 1 species